CAAAACAAACAAACGGCCACACACUCCAACACCAACACCAACACCAACGCUUUUCUCCCUCUCUUCACUCCUCCCUCGCUUCUCCACCUCCGCCUCCCUCUCCCUCCUCCGCACCAAAAAUUCCUCUUUUUUUACCUCCCACCAAUCCUUACCGUCGCCUCCUUCUACUACUACAACCCAAUCCGGGCUGGUCCUCGGAUGGACUCGGGUCUCGACUAGCUACCUAGGCCCUGCUCGGGUGCGCGCGCCACGCCGCUAGGGUUCUUGGCCCGGGGCUUCUCCAAUGGUGCACCGCCGCUUCGCGUGGCCCUUCGGCGGCCAGCGCGCCUCCCUCUGCGGCAGCUUCACCGGGUGGAGGGAGUUCCCCAUGGGGCUCGCCGGGGCCGAGUUCCAGGUGGUGUUCGAUCUACCCCCGGGGGUUUAUCAGGUGCGUGCGUACCGAUUCUUGGUGGAUGGUGCCUGGAGAUGUGAUGACACAAAACCUAUUGUACGCGAUGAAUAUGGCAUGAUCAGCAAUGAAGUGCUUGUCACACUUGAGAAUAAUACACACCCGGUUGUGCAGCUAGAGUCAUCUUCCAAUAGAAGAAUGAAUUUGGAUGAGGGUACUAUUUUGACAACAAUGCCUACAGAACCGCCAUCUCAAAACUCUGGCGUGCAGAUUGCAGUUUUCCGCCAACGAGUCUCUGAAAUACUACUACAUAAUACCGUAUAUGAUGUUGUUCCUGUUUCUAGCAAGAUAGCAAUUUUGGAUGCUCGGCUUCCUGUCAAACAAGCAUUUAAUAUUAUGCAUGAUGAGGGCCUUGCUUUGGUUCCUCUAUGGGAUGAUGGCCAAGGAACCAUAACAGGCAUGCUAACUGCGUCUGAUUUUGUAUUAAUUUUGAGAAAGUUGCAGAGGAACAUUCGAGUUCUGGGCCAUGAAGAGCUUGAAAUGCAUUCAGUGGCUGCUUGGAAAGAAGCAAAACUACAGUAUUAUGGGGGGUCUGAUGUCGCAACCAUGCAAAGAAGGCCAUUAGUUCAUGUUAAGGAUUCGGAUAAUUUAAGGGCUGUGGCACUGUCUAUAAUACAAAAUGAAAUAUCUUCAGUCCCUAUCUUCAAAUCCUCGAUGGAUGUAUCAGGAAUGCCAAUACUUAAUCUUGCAACUCUUCCGGGGAUUUUAAAAUUUCUUUGCUCCAAGCUCCAAGAACAACCAGAAGGCUAUCCCAUUUUGCAAAAUCACAUUUCCAGUAUUCCUAUUGGUACAUGGUCGCAACAUACUGGCAGGGCAAGUAAAAGACAGCUUAGAACAUCGCGGCUGAAUGUUCCUCUAAUUACUUGCUUGGAUUUCCUGCUGGAAGAUAGAGUGAGCUCAGUUCCUAUAGUUGAUGAUAAUGGAUCCCUUCUUGAUGUCUAUGCACUCAGCGAUAUCAUGGCUCUGGCGAAGAAUGACAUUUACACUCGCAUUGAACUUGAGCAAGUGACCGUGGAGCAUAUGACACACAGCUUUGUGUUGUGAUGUUUAGUUCAUCAAAUGUCGAGAAGGAAGAAAACAGAACAUGAAGUUAUCUGUCCAUGCUGAUAUCGGAUGCCUCAUUUAAAUAUAACUUACGUUUGCAUUAAUAAUUGAAGAUCAAUAGUCCAUUAGCAUGCUUGAAACCAGAGCAUCUUUAGACGAAACCAGAGCAUCUUGAUACGCUCCACAGUGCACUUUACCAUGGUUCUUGCUAAUGCCUUGGAGCUGCAAUAUCAGGUGAAUGGACGGAGACAGUGUCAUACCUGUUUGAGUACAAGUACAUUUCUUGAGGUGCUGGAGCAAUUGUCUGUUCCAG